UUUUUAUCUUUCUGUCCUCAGUCUUCUGCCAUCUGUCUUCUGAUGGGUAGAGGAGCGUUCUGUAAGCCUGUGAAGGUGAAUCGAGAGGUUUGCUGGAGGUAUCAGAAGUGCGAAUGCUGACAUAAGUAACGAUAAUGUGGGUGAAAAACCCACACGCCGAAAGUCUAAGGUUUCCUGCGCAACGUUAAUCGGCGCAGGGUGAGUCGGCCCCUAAGGCGAGGCAGAAAUGCGUAGUCGAUGGGAAACGGGUUAAUAUUCCCGUACUUUAUAAUACUGCGAUGGGAGGACGGAGAAGGCUAGGUCAGCCACCCGAUGGUUGUGGUGGUUUAAGUGUGUAGGAAGGGUUCUUUGGCAAAUCCGGGAACUCAAUUCCGAGACAUGAUGACGAAGUACGAACUUGUUCGUGCAAAGUGAUUGAUGCCACGCUUCCAGGAAAAGUCCCUAAGCUUCAGGUAUUGUAAAACCGUACUAUAAACCGACACAGGUGGACAGGUAGAGAAUACCAAGGCGCUUGAGAGAACUUGGGUGAAGGAACUAGGCAAAAUGGCACCGUAACUUCGGGAGAAGGUGCGCCCUUGGUAAGUGAAGGUCCUUGCGACUGGAGCUGAAAAGGGUUGCAGAUACCAGGUGGCUGCGACUGUUUACUAAAAACACAGCACUCUGCAAACUCGUAAGAGGACGUAUAGGGUGUGACGCCUGCCCGGUGCCGGAAGGUUAAGUGAUGGGGUUAGCCCUCGGGCGAAGCUCUUGAUCGAAGCCCCGGUAAACGGCGGCCGUAACUAUAAAUUAACCGUUGUAGUUACGUAAAUAAACUUGGCUAUAUGCUGGAAACUCCGAGUAUCCUCCAGUACUCAUCUCAACUAAAAUUGAGGUAGUAAAAAUCUGCGAGGUGCGGACAAUCAGCAGGAAAGACUAAUCUUUUUGAUUAGAAUCCUCAGAGACUAAUACGCCGAGCGUACUUAGAAAAAAUCCAUUCUAAGUGUGAUGAUAGAGUCCGAUCUCUAUAGCGAUAUAGAGGGUUUUCAAAAGAACCUGUUAAUCAUUAUCCCAUGAUUAACAUAACGUCAAUAAACGGUCCUAAGGUAGCGAAAUUCCUUGUCGGGUAAAAAAUUGCCCCGCUAAACUGUAAAGUUUAGUGAUAAAGUCAGCUCAUAUCGGGGGAACCCUCCUGCUUUUUAGCAAAGGGCAAUCCCGAGGGAAGUCUUAAAUGACCCCGUAACGACUGAUCCGAAAGGUGAGGCACGCAUUUGUGUGCAAUACGCUGACUUCUUGCCCUUGGGUUUAUACUCAAGAAGUAAGUGACU
rnacentral:rRNA from 1 species